rnacentral:rRNA from 1 species
CAGCAGCCGCGGGAAUACGUAGGUGGCAAGCGUUGUCCGGAAUUAUUGGGCGUAAAGGGCUCGCGGGCGGUUUCUUAAGUCUGAUGUGAAAGCCCCCGGCUCAACCGGGGAGGGUCAUUGGAAACUGGGAAACUUGAGUGCAGAAGAGGAGAGUGGAAUUCCACGUGUAGCGGUGAAAUGCGUAGAGAUGUGGAGGAACACCAGUGGCGAAGGCGACUCUCUGGUCUGUAACUGACGCUGAGGAGCGAAAGCGUGGGGAGCGAACAGGAUUAGAUACCCCUGUAGUCCCUGUCUCUUAUAC